rnacentral:rRNA from 1 species
UACGGAGGGUGCGAGCGUUAAUCGGAAUUACUGGGCGUAAAGCGCACGCAGGCGGUUUGUUAAGCAAGAUGUGAAAGCCCCGGGCUCAACCUGGGAACUGCAUUUUGAACUGGCAGACUAGAGUCUUGGAGAGGGGGGUGGAAUUCCAGGUGUAGCGGUGAAAUGCGUAGAGAUCGUGGAGACAUCAGUGGCGAAGGCGGCCCCUGGCCAAAGCACUGACGCUCAUGUGCGAAAGUGUGGGUAGCGAACAGGAUUAGAUACCCGUGUAGUCC